AUUGAACGCUGGCGGCAGGCUUAACACAUGCAAGUCGAACGAGUGGCGGACGGGUGAGUAAUGCUUGGGAAUCUCGCUUAUGGAGGGGGAUAACUACGGGAAACUGUAGCCAAUACCGCGUACCAUAGGAUGAGCCCAAGUGGGAUGAGGUAGUUGGUGGGGUAAAGGCUCACAAAGCCGACGAUCUCUAGCUGGUCUGAGAGGAUGACCAGCCAAACUGGAACUGAGACACGGCCCAGACUCCUACGGGAGGCAGCAGUGGGGAAUAUUGCGCAAUGGGGGCAACCUGACGCAGCCAUGCCGCGUGAAUGAAGAAGGCCUUGGGGUUGUAAAGUACUUUCGGUGGCGAGGCGUUAACUGCAGAAGAAGCACCGGCUAACUCCGUGCCAGCAGCCGCGGUAAUUC
rnacentral:rRNA from 1 species